ACCUUUAUCACUGGUCUAACCAGUUCUUUGGCGUAACAUUAUCCCCGGAUGCUACUUCUUACAUACCAGGGCAUCUACGUUUACACUAACUGCUCGCGGAAUUUACAGAAGUCGUCGUGACAGAGAUGAGUCUGAACAUUCAGGUUGUCUGUGUGGUGGCGGUCAUCGUGGGACUGAUGUUCAGUGUCAAACUCAUCACCAUGGGGCUGGUGUAAACAGUUUUUAGGCAUAAAGGCAGCUCCGGGUCCUACUUCCUACAUACCAGGCCAUCUAAUUCUACACGGCUGCUCGCGGAAUUGACAGAGGAAACAACAACAAACACCGCAGCAGAAAGUAUGAAAAGUUUGAACAUAAACAACCAAGCCGUCUGCUGUAUUGCGGUACUUGUGGGACUGGUGUUCAGCUCGUUCCUCAUCACCAUGGGGCUGGUGUAAACAAAUCUAAGGGCAGCCGCAUGCCACGGUAGGAGCUUGCAGGAAGGAUGGACGGUAGCUACAGACAACGGGCCUGGGCUAUAGACACCAAACUCCAAGUCAUCACAUCCUCGGCGUCUUCACAGCGACACCUAUUGACUGCUGUCGGAGCUGCCUCGAUGGACGCUGACGUCAGAACUGUUUGUUGGACAUCGCCAUCGUCGUUGAUCCGUAGACACCUGCCAUCAGUUCUGCCAACCUACCAAUUGUUGCUCUCCUGUUUAUAGCAAACUUACUGUAAUUAUAUGUACUAUUCUGAAA